rnacentral:lncRNA from 1 species
NNNNNNNNNNNNNNNNNNNNNNNNNNNNNNNNNNNNNNNNNNNNNNNGGGGGGGACACGUCCCCGAGGUGUCACCGCGCCGUUGUCACCCGGGAGUGACGUUGUUCUCCGUCCCAGUGUCCUACGUGUCCCCUGCUUUGCCUUGUUCUGUGCUCCGAGGGUUGACCCUGAAUCCCUUUCUACUGUCCUUACAACGUCCCCAACCCGUGUCCCAUGUCCCCAACCCAUGUUCCAUGUCCUCCUGGUGUCCCCAACCCCUUCCCAUGUCCUCCUGGUGUCCCCAACCCAUGCCCCAUGUCCCCAACCCCUUCCUAAUGUCCUUCCAAAGACCCUAUCCCAUGUCCCCUGUCCCCAACCGAUGUCCCAUGUCCCCAACCCCUUCCCAUGUCCUCCUGGUGUCCCCAACCCGUGUCCCCUGUCCCCAACCCCUUCCCAUGUCCUCCUGGUGUCCCCAACCCAUGUCCCCUGUCCCCAACCCAUGCCCCAUGUCCCCAAUCCAUGUUCCAUGUCCCCAGCCCCUUCCCAAUGUCCUUCCAAAGACCCUAUCCCAUGUCCCCUAUCCCCAACCCAUGCCCCAUGUCCCCAACCCGUGUCCCAUGUCCCCAACCCCUUCCCAUGUCCUCCUGGUGUCCCCAAACCAUGUCCCCUGUCCCCAACCCAUGUCCCAUGUCACCAAUUCCUUCCCAAUGUCCUUCCGGUGUCCCCAACCCACGUCCAUAUCCCCAGCCCUUCCUAAUGUCCUCUGAAAGUCCCUAUCCCAUGUCCCCAACCCACGUCCCCUACUCAUGUUCCAUGUCCCCAACCCCUUCCCAUGUCCUCUUGGUGUCCCCAACCCACGUCGCAUGUCCCCAACCCGUGUCCCAUGCCCCCAACCCCUUCCCAAUGCCCUUCCAAUGCCCCCAACCCAUGUCCCACGUCCCCAACCCCUUCCCAUGUCCUCCCGGUGUCCCCAACCCACGUCCAUGUCCCCAAUUCCCUCCCGGUAUCCCUUUAACGACCCCAGUCCAUCUCCCCAACCACGUCCCAUGUCCCCAGUCCCUUCCUAAUGUCCUCACAACGUCCCCAACCCAGGUCCCAUGUCCCCAACCCUUUCCUAGCGUCCUUCCAACGUCCCCAACCCAUGUCCCCAAUCCCUUUCUAACGCCCUUCCGGUGUCCCCAACCCAUGUCCCAUGUCCCCAACUCCAUGUCCCAUAUCCUCAGUCCCUUCCUAAUGUCCUCACAAUGUCCCCAACCCAUGUCCCACGUCCCCAACCCCUUCCCAUGUCCUCCCAGUGUCCCCAACCCACGUCCAUGUCCCCAGUUCC